UACGUAGGGGGCAAGCGUUGUCCGGAAUCAUUGGGCGUAAAGAGCGCGUAGGCGGCCCUGUAAGUCCGCUGUGAAAGUCAAGGGCUCAACCCUUGAAUGCCGGUGGAUACUGCAGGGCUAGAGUCCGGAAGAGGCGAGUGGAAUUCCUGGUGUAGCGGUGAAAUGCGCAGAUAUCAGGAGGAACACCGAUGGCGAAGGCAGCUCGCUGGGACGUGACUGACGCUGAGACGCGAAAGCGUGGGGAGCAAACAGG
rnacentral:rRNA from 1 species